UCCUACGGGGGGGCAGCAGUAGGGAAUCUUCCGCAAUGGACGAAAGUCUGACGGAGCAACGCCGCGUGAGUGAUGAAGGUUUUCGGAUCGUAAAACUCUGUUGUUAGGGAAGAACAAGUACCGGAGUAACUGCCGGUACCUUGACGGUACCUAACCAGAAAGCCACGGCUAACUACGUGCCAGCAGCCGCGGUAAUACGUAGGUGGCAAGCGUUGUCCGGAAUUAUUGGGCGUAAAGCGCGCGCAGGCGGUUCCUUAAGUCUGAUGUGAAAGCCCCCGGCUCAACCGGGGAGGGUCAUUGGAAACUGGGGAACUUGAGUGCAGAAGAGAAGAGUGGAAUUCCACGUGUAGGGGUGUUUUUUUUUUUUUAAG
rnacentral:rRNA from 1 species